GCAGUCUAGGGGUAUGAUUUUCGUUUCGCAGCCUGUUAACGCAGCUGAAUAUAUGAAAGGUCAGGGGUUCAAUUCCCCUGUCGUCCA